GCGCACCAGGCGCGAAAACUUCACAAUGUGCGAAAGCACGAUGAGGGAAUCCCAAGUGCUUGCUCGUAAGAGUAAGCUGUUUCUCUGUCUAAAACGCAGAGAGAGUAAGGGCUGGGUAAGACGGGUGCCAGCCGCCGCGGUAAUACCUGCGAGCUCGAGUGGUGGCCGCUAUUAUUGGGCCUAAAACGUCCGUAGCCGGUUUAUUAAAUGCCUGGGUAAAUCGGACCGCUUAACGGUUCGAAUUCCGGGUAGACUGAUAAACUUGAGACCCGGGAGAAGCUAGAGGUACUCCUGGGGUAGAGGUGAAAUUCUGUAAUCCUGGGGGGACCACCAGUGGCGAAGGCGUCUAGCUAGAACGGGUCUGACGGUGAGGGACGAAGCCCUGGGGCGCAAACGGGGAUUAGAUA
rnacentral:rRNA from 1 species